GGAUGGAAGAAAGAAAAGAAGGAAAGAAAAAGGAAGAAGAAAGGAAAGAAAGGAGGAAAAGAAAAUAUGAUUUACGCUUUCUAUCUGGAAGAGGACAAGGAGGUUUCAGAGUUCGGGGCAACUUUCAGGAGGAGAAACUGGUGUUGGUUUAACUAAACUCUCUGUGGAAGUCUCUCCAACCUGAACAUGAAAUUGGAGGUCUUCUUUCUCUUCUU